CUAAUUUUCUCGGCUAACACAGACAGACAAUACUCUCUCUCCCUCCCUCCCUCCCUCCCUCCCUCUACUUUUCAUCUCUCUAGAAAUCGGCAAGUCGCCGACCAACAGUCCGAAACUCAGCUGCCGCUCAUCUCCACGGCGCCUGCUCUGCCUCGCCUCCGUCCUCUCCUUUUAGCUUUGCUUCGGCCUUCUCUCCUCCUUCAUCCUCCGUUGAAGAAGAGUCCUAGAGCUUAGAGCUUCAAAGUCCACGCUUAAGCUUAAACCUAGUGAAAUUAUGCCGUUACGGGAUGCAAUCUUUAUGGUAACCAACUUAAGUGCAGCGCGCCUAAGAGAAUAAUAAUGUGUCGCAUAUAAGGUAAAAACUCUCUUAUUCUAAGCAGCUGCAUCCCCAUCAAGUCACCAGUCUUACAAUCUUUGGUUAUUACCUGUUAUUGAUGUGUAUUUUUGUUCGUUUAUAGGUAGGUUGAAUGUUUUAGAAAAUUAUGUUUAAGUCUUGUUGGCAAGUUAUCAGCUUUUUAAAUUAAAAAAAAGUGUUUUAUGGGUUUUCUGCCAUCCUUUCUUUAAUAAUAUUUGUAUUUUGAAAUUUUAAUAAUCACAACUCAAAGUGAAAUUGCUUAUUCAGUUUUUA